UACCAGCACCCCGAGUGGUCGGGACGUUUAUUGGGCCUAAAGCAUCCGUAGCCGGUUCUACAAGUCUUCCGUUAAAUCCACCUGCUUAACAGAUGGGCUGCGGAAGAUACUAUGGAGCUAGGAGGCGGGAGGGGCAAGCGGUACUCGAUGGGUAGGGGUAAAAUCCGUUGAUCCAUUGAAGACCACCAGUGGCGAAGGCGGCUUGCCAGAACGCGCUCGACGGUGAGGGAUGAAAGCUGGGGGAGCAAACCGG
rnacentral:rRNA from 1 species